AACGAACGCUGGCGGCAUGCCUAACACAUGCAAGUCGAACGAGACCUUCGGGUCUAGUGGCGCACGGGUGCGUAACGCGUGGGAACCUGCCCUUAGGUUUGGAAUAACUCCCCGAAAGGGGUGCUAAUACCGGAUAAUGUCUUCGGACCAAAGAUUUAUCGCCUUUGGAUGGGCCCGCGUUGGAUUAGCUAGUUGGUAGGGUAAAAGCCUACCAAGGCGACGAUCCAUAGCUGGUCUGAGAGGAUGAUCAGCCACACUGGGACUGAGACACGGCCCAGACUCCUACGGGAGGCAGCAGUGGGGAAUAUUGGACAAUGGGCGAAAGCCUGAUCCAGCAAUGCCGCGUGAGUGAUGAAGGCCUUAGGGUUGUAAAGCUCUUUUACCCGGGAUGAUAAUGACAGUACCGGGAGAAUAAGCUCCGGCUAACUCCGU
rnacentral:rRNA from 1 species